rnacentral:tRNA from 1 species
GGGCCUUUAGCUCAGUUGGUUAGAGCUGCGGACUCAUAAUCCGUAUGUCCCUGGUUCAAGUCCAGGAAGGCCCA